rnacentral:rRNA from 1 species
GGAUUCUGAACUUUUUCAAAUUGGACCUGAUUCGGCAAGACUACCCCUAAACUUAAGCAUAUCAAUAAGCGGGAGAAA